rnacentral:rRNA from 1 species
GACGAACGCUGGCGGCGUGCCUAAUACAUGCAAGUCGAGCGAAGUUUUUCUGGUGCUUGCACUAGAAAAACUUAGCGGCGAACGGGUGAGUAGCACGUAAAGAACCUGCCUCAUAGACUGGGACAACUAUUGGAAACGAUAGCUAAUACCGGAUAACAGCAUUAACUGCAUGGUUGAUGUUUAAAAGUUGGUUUUGCUAACACUAUGAGAUGGCUUUGCGGUGCAUUAGCUAGUUGGUGGGGUAAAGGCCUACCAAGGCGACGAUGCAUAGCCGACCUGAGAGGGUGAUCGGCCACACUGGGACUGAGACACGGCCCAGACUCCUACGGGAGGCAGCAGUAGGGAAUCUUCCGCAAUGGGCGAAAGCCUGACGGAGCAACGCCGCGUGAGUGAAGAAGGAUUUCGGUUCGUAAAGCUCUGUUGUUAGGGAAGAAUGAUUGUGUAGUAACUAUACACAGUAGAGACGGUACCUAACCAGAAAGCCACGGCUAACUACGUG